CGAAAGCCUGACGGAGCAAGACCGCGUGAGGGAGGAAGGUCUGUGGAUUGUAAACCUCUUUUCUCAGGGAAGAAGAACUGACGGUACCUGAGGAAUCAGCAUCGGCUAACUCCGUGCCAGCAGCCGCGGUAAUACGGAGGAUGCAAGCGUUAUCCGGAAUUAUUGGGCGUAAAGCGUCCGUAGGUGGCUAAGCAAGUCUGCUGUUAAAGAGCGGAGCUAAACUCCGUAAAGGCGGUGGAAACUGCAUAGCUAGAGUGUGGUAGGGGUAGAGGGAAUUCCCAGUGUAGCGGUGAAAUGCGUAGAUAUUGGGAAGAACACCGGUGGCGAAGGCGCUCUACUGGGCCACAACUGACACUGAUGGACGAAAGCUAGGGGAGCGAAUGGGAUUAGAU
rnacentral:rRNA from 1 species